CACGCUGUAAACGAUGAGAGCUAGUUGUCGGCACGCAUGCGUGUCGGUGACGCAGCUAACGCAUUAAGCUCUCCGCCUGGGGAGUACGGCCGCAAGGUUAAAACUCAAAGAAAUUGACGGGGGCCCGCACAAGCGGUGGAGCAUGUGGUUUAAUUCGAAGCAACGCGCAGAACCUUACCCACGUUUGACAUGUCUAGUUUGGUCGUCAGAGAUGACUUCCUUCAGUUCGGCUGGCUAGAACACAGGUGC
rnacentral:rRNA from 1 species